CUUUUAGCAUAAAAGAAGGUUGAAUUCUAACUCCAGUAAAAUGGUUCUUUGGUACACUAGUCCACCAUCUUCUCAGUCUGCUGGCUUUCUGAAUAAAGUUGCUAUUCCUUGUCCC